GAGUAUUUCACAGUCACCCAAGAAAGUCUCUACAGCCUCCACUUUGCAAACCACUGCACGAAAGAGUGUUUCUCAAAUUUCUUUGGUUGAAGGACUCCUUUUCAAAUGGGCAUGGCUGCGGUUGAUGUUUGGUGCGGAGGAGAGGGCAGCCAUGAUGGACCAGAGGCCUCGGCACGUUUUAAUGGGGAGCUGGUGUCCAAGUCUCUGGAAGCGGAUUCCUUUCAUUAGUCCUAGCCAUGGACAUUUAGUUCUCUUUUUUUAAGCACCUUUCUGACAGGGGUGAGAAGUAGUGCCUGGAAAGUAUACAGCUGAACUGCAGACCACACGGACAGAUUAACCUGGAAACAUCUGAAUCUCUCAGUCCAAAGCUGCAAUAACAGCUCUGUUCAAUUUUGAAAUGCUCACCGAUUUGUUUGUCUUUUUAAGUAAAUGCAUCAACAUCUGAUUCAGUAAAACUUGGCAUGAGAGGAGGGAUAAUGCACAAUAGCCAAAGAGAAUGUUACUUUGCCAUGUUUUAAAUGAAAAUAUUUUGCAAUUAUCUGUUUUUAAGUUUUACGUUUGUCUGUCAGAGAUGAUUCAUGAUUUUCUUAAAUGAGGAUUGUCUCUUUAAAAUUUUCAAUACUUUUCUUAGAUGUUAAAAGAAGAGUUGAGUCUGUAGUUGGAUUCUUUUGUUAUAACAUUGAGCUCAGAGGCUCCCCCCAUCUAUCGCAUACCAUAAUUUGCUGUGCAGUAACUGCACAAACCAAUGCUGCUCUCACAUUGCUAGAACCUAUCUAAUUGACUCCCAUUGUAAAGCAUGUUCGUCAUUCAUGAUUUUGCCGUUUGUAAGGUUUUGUGGGAACGUAACUCCUGAAAAUGGCGGAACUUUACUGUACAAGUAGGGACCUGCCACAGGAUGGCUUAGGGCCUGACACACCACGAACAUGCCACUGACUCAAUCUCUGCAUCUCAACUGCCAUCAGGAAAAUCAAAAUUUCAGAUCCCUAAUUAAGUCCUGCUCUUGCAGGCUCCAUAAAAUUCCAGCAAGUGGUGAAUCCGGCUUUGACUUGCUAUUGGGGGAAGGGACCCCGCUCUGACCACAGGUCUAUCCAAGCUGCACAGCAGCCAAGAGCUGCCAUAUCUUGUGUAGCCCCAUACUUAUAGAUGAUGAGUCCGACUUCCAGCGCCACCAACUUCAGUUGUCCACUCCAUGUCGCUGCAUGGUGCCUUCACAGCAACAGGCCAGUAUUCAAACACUACCUUUGGUCCACACGGUCCAGAUGUAGUAAACAGUGCUUUUCAAACCUACCUGUCAAGUUCUGGGAUUUAAGAACCCUCUUGUAAGAGAAGCUUGAUUUUACUUCAAAAUUGUGGCUCUCACAAUAACUUCACGCAAGUUCAUAUGUCUGGGAGAGGUAUUGGAGGAGGAUGGUAUGGUCAACUGUGUCAAAGGUUGUAGACAGGUCAAGAAUGACAGGAAGAGGUAGUUUAUAUUCUAAUUUGGAUGUGUAGGUGGGGUUGUUUGGGUAGAAUAGCUUCUUAGGAAAGAGUGCCAAACUACCUGCUGCUUCCAGAACUCCCAGUGGAUCGAUUUCCAUCCAUUUCUACUUGCAUAUAUGUUUCACAAGUGUUUCAUUCACACUUAUUGUGGGAAGGACUGCAUUUCACCACAGGAAGUAAGGAUAUAUCUUACACCUAGCAAUGAUAAUUGCUCUAGCAUAAAUGUUGACAUAGGGUUUGUUCCUUAGUGUAAACAGUUCUUAUAAAAGUAACAAAUAACAUCCUGUAUGAAUGUGACUGCAGUAAACUAUCCCUCCCCAUCCUUCUUGACCUGUCUGCAACCUUUGACACAGUUGACCAUGCCAUCCUCCUCCAAUAUCUCCACACUCCAUACUUGGAACCCUAAUCCCACUUAAAUCCUGCAGAAAAAGUUAUAUAAAUGAUGCCAUUUCUAUCAUAACAGUGAUAUCCACCAGAUCCUGAGCAGUGAUGGGUGGGGGUGUUGCAAUUUGUUGUAAAUCCUUGCUCGGAUAUUCCUAUUCCCACAAGGUUCUGUGAGGGAGUAAAUGAACCACUUCUGUUUCCUCAUGCAGGGAUCGAUUUAUUGCACAAACCAGUCCUAUAAUUUUUUUUAAUUCCAAUGUCCUAUGGCCCUAUCAGCACUGGACAUAAGGGGAAUCAUAGACUUUCCCUAGUGUCUAGUAAUGCACAAGAUUGUAAAUGAGGAAAAUACAUUGUAUUUAAUUUAUAUUCCAUUGGUGACUGACAUGUUAUGGGCCUGCUACCUAAAUAGCCUUUCUAAUCCCUGGAAUUCUGGAUCCCCAACACCUGGCACAUACAGAAAGCCAAAGCACCCAUACACCUUCUUUCAUUGGGUUAGUCCUGAAUGCAAAACCCGUAAAGGGCCCAGUGCCCUUGUCAUUGAAAGCAGUGAAACCUGCUUAAGAAGUUUCACGUGCUGCCUCCAACUUAAAGUACAGCUGGCACCAAUGUAAGAUUAAAAAGCUCUUGCAAACAAUAUUUGACAUUGGAUCCACCAUGUUGGAUCUCAAAAUAAAGUUGAACUCUCAGCCCAUCCAUAUAUGUAUGCAAUUACUAACCCACUACCAAUAGUAGCUCAGUAAUAAACAUGGCACCAGAGUGCCCCUUUUAUAUUACUGCAUAACUAUGCUUCAGCCUCACAAGAAUGGAAAAUAUUUUAAAAGGGUAUUUUUUUCCAUCUUGAAUUAGUAAUAAUGUGUUUCUGAAAUGCUUUAACAAAUUUCUCAAGUAUAUUUGAAUACUUCACUACCCUAACUGCUGAUCAUGUUUAAUGGUUCAAAGUUCAUAAUGUCAGUUUGACAAGGAACUGUUAAUGUAUUCCAUUAUAUACUGGAAUUCCUACUGCAAAGUGUGAAUGAAUCCUUUAAUUGGCUUGUCUAUCUGUUAAUGAUUUGUCUAUGUUGUGCAAUAUUUCCACUGAGUGCUAUGAAGCAAAGCCACAAAAGGACUACUGACCACACAGAUGUCUAAAGCCAAAGCCAAACUAAACAUUCUUCACCCUAUCAUAUUAGUAAUAGCUGAACAUAUCUGCUGCUGGUGUUUGUAGCUAUCCAGUGUAUCUUUAAUUUUGUGUGGUUAAAAAUAAAAGUGUCUACAACA